UAGCUACUAAAAUAGCUAUUUCUUGACCAAUACAUUAACCUAUUUUCCUGAGGCCAAAACUUUUCCAUCAACCUGAAACAUAAGCUAAACCCAUCCUUCUAAGUAUCGACAUUCCUCUUCACAUAGCUUGUGAGUCUUCCCCUAUCUUGGGUGCUAUAAACUUUUUUCAUAUAAUGUGCCUGCCUACUAUCUAUAACACAGUAUGCGUUCCAAUAAAUUCGUGAAUACAAAGCACGUGGUGUUAUAUGUUGCAGAAAGAACACAGAAAUAUCGGCGAGCAGUGACUGAUGACAAGUUACGA